rnacentral:rRNA from 1 species
UACGUAGGGGGCGAGCGUUGUCCGGAUUUAUUGGGCGUAAAGAGCGUGUAGGCGGCCAGGUAGGUCUGCUGUGAAAACUCGAGGCUCAACUUCGAGAUGUCGGCGGAAACCAUUUGGCUAGAGUCCGGAAGAGGAGAGUGGAAUUCCUGGUGUAGCGGUGAAAUGCGCAGAUAUCAGGAGGAACACCGGUGGCGAAGGCGGAUCUCUGGGCCUUACCUGACGCUGAGGCGCGAAAGCUAGGGGAGCGAACAGG